AGGGAAAUAGCUCAGUGGUAGAGCAAAUGCCUAGCAGGCAGGAGGUCCUGGGUUCAAUCCCCAGCACCUCCA
rnacentral:tRNA from 1 species